AGUACUAGUUAAAUCGGGCUUGAUUUUAGAUAAAUCUAAUUAUUAUCUUUAAGCAUGAUACGUUCUAAUACUUUGAUUUAAGCUGUUGAUGUAUGUAUUCUGACUAUGGAAUAUCAUGUUCAAAUAUUCUACAAAGAAGCUAAUUAGGAGAUUCUGCAAUUGUUGAUGGUAAUUGGAAUUUAAGAAUAUAGGCUUAAUGGUUUAAUUGGAAUUUAAGCAUGAUAUGUUCUAAUAUUUUAAAUUUAUAUUGAUGAAUACUUUCCACCUAUAUUAACUUAAGUGAGUAGAUAUAUCAGUAGUGUACAUUUUUUAUUCCACAAACAAUCUUAAAAAGUUGAGAUAUUAUUUUUUUAGAUGUAUUUGUUAAUAAUUUACUAUAAAAUUAUAAGACACCUAAUUUACUAUGACAAUAUAAAACAAUCUAAAAAAGUUGAACCGAUUUACUUAUCUUUGCACAGAUUAAGUUACUCGGAACCAAAUUUGCAGUUCAAAUUUGAAGCCAUGCUCAAAAGUUUUUCUCUAAGGCUCAUUGCUUUGAGUUCAUUACAAGAUUUCCUUGAUUAAGUAAAUGUAUUAUAUCUUUUAUUACCAAGAUUUUUAUUACCUUGCAUAUUUUAUUACCUUGCAUAUGUAUUAUUUAUUUUAGUUUUGAUUUUAGAUUUUUAUUUGUACUUAAGUGUUCUAACUUUUGGAUUUUAAUUGUGUUAUUAAUUUAUUAUUUUAAAUUCUAAAUUUAAAUUCAUUAAUUUUUAUAUUUAUAUUUAGUUUUACUAUAUUUAUAUUUAGUUUUAAAGUUAAAAUUUUCUUAGAAAAUUUAAUUUAAAUAAUAAUUUUAUUUAUCCUUAAAACAUAAUAUAAUAUUUAUCAUAGAAAUAAAUAUUAUUUGAAGAAAAAUUAAUUUUUUAAAAUAUAUGUUUUUAGCGGCGUUUGUGUGAAAAGCGCCGCCGUUAAAAGCUUAUUCUAUAGCGGCGUUUGUGGGAAAAGCGCCGUUAAUGGUAAUGGUCUUUAGCGGCGUUUGUGCAAAAAGCGCUGCUAAAGGUCAUGGUCUAUAGCAGCGUUUGUGAAAGAGCACCGCUAAAUGUCAUGGUCUAUAGCGGCGUUUGUCGGAAAAGCGUCGCUAAAGGUUAUGGUCUUUACGGCGUUUAUUUCUAAAAACGUCGCAAAAGUUAACGACGCGUUCAAUAGUGGCGCUUUUUGAAAGCGCCGCUAAAAACUUCUUUUAGUUUAGUGCCUGUGUGUUGCGUUUUCACCCACCCCUUUUCCAACCAACCCCCCAACUCGUGAAAAAUUUCCAGGAACUGGGAACCCCCGUCCUUAAAUUUCAGACAUCCCAAGAAUCUCAGGAUAUUUGCAAUUACUCGUGAUACAUAUUUUGUUUUUUUAAUUCUUGCCCAACCGGUUGCCUUUAUAAAGGGGGUUUUCCUCCCUCUACUCCAUAAACUCUCUCAACACACCCCUCAACCUUAAAAAAAAUCCUCUCCUCAAUUGUUCUUCUUUUUUAAUGUUGAAAUUUUUCAACAGAAAGAUUUAUUUGUGUUUGAGGGAGACAAUUUGUUAGCUUUAAUGCAUGUUUGAGUUUACGAUGAUGUGGUGGCGUUCAAAGACCCCUAGAUAUCAUCUGCUGUGUCAGGAUCAAGUACCAAAUGAAUUUAAUAUACCAAAACAUGAUUCAUGCCACGAUGUCGUAUGGUGGUCGUUUCGAUGGGAAAAGGCUUGUAAUGUCACUAUUUUAAGUUUCUCACAGCCUAGGACAAUCAUUAGGUUCCUUUUCUAUUCCUUAUAGUUAUUUUCAUUUAGUUUGUUUUCAAUGAAUAUGUUCAAUAAAGGAGUUGGUACUAUUUUCAAACUAAAAAUAAAACAUUCAUAUAUUAAUAUAUUUGUAUUAAACAAAUGUUUGAAAACGUUUUGCAACAUUAUGAUAUGCAUUAAUAUGAUGCACACGUCUUACAUUAAACCUUGAAAACAUUUGUAAGCUGUUGCAACGAUAAUUCCUACACCCAUUGAAUCAAGUCACCUUGGGGUGAUCAUGAUCAACUAGUAAGAACAUGAAUUUCCAUCCUAUUAGUACAUGAACCUAAUUCAUUAGGCUUUCACACGUACUAAUAAUUGUGUAACAUUUGACCAUCAUUCUAACUUAAGUAUAGCUCCUUGUGGAGUUACUUAACCAGAUUAUCUUGGGUGUAUAACCAUCAAAUCAAUAUCUAUCGCAUCAUGUACCACAAAUGACUUAUCUUAGGACAAUAUCGUCGAGUAGAAUGUUGUGACUAGUUUUCCUCUUUUAAGACAGAAUUUCUAGAUGUAUCGCAUGAUAAUACCUACCAUAGAGGACUGUCC
rnacentral:lncRNA from 1 species